UCAGAAAAUCAGUAAAAUGAACUUCCUAUUCAUGACUCGCCAGAGCAGCUGCUCGGUCUCGCCUGAUCGCGGCGCUGCGGGGCGGCGGAAACUAAAUCAGACUCGUGAGAGCGGGGCACGCCGACGUUGCGGGGCGGCCGCAACUCAGUAAUUCAUAUAAAUAACCUAGUUUGUGAAUGGUUCAUUCCCGGUUGGCACACAUUUUUCAGCUCUUACAAAAGCGCCGCUCCCUAAUUUACAGUGAGAGUUCGAUCAUAGAUUUGAGUUCGAUGCAUAAUGUCUCGAUGCGGCCGUGUCGGCGCAUAACAUACGUCAUAAAUAAACUUUCUGAUUGGCUUACGGGUAACCAAUUGUAGCAAGAUAAGCAGGAGAAUGGGAGAGGAAUUGGGAAGUAACUACCAAUCCCAGUACAGAUUGCCUAUAGGAUGGUCCAAUUUAAAGGACAGGCAACAUGGAAGGGCAGCCGGGGUCCUUGCAGCAUCAGUUAGCCGUUUGGCUAGUAGCGUGUGGGACUGGGUGUCCUGUGAUGUACUCUUCCUCGAUGGAAGAACUGUUUGCCUGAUGGAAUAAAUUCAGGACCAUCAUGUUUUUUGUCUGAUUGUGCACCUUAAAGGUAUAGUUAUUAUUUUUUUCUCUGUUUAAAGUAUUGAUUGAUUUUGUUUUUUUUGCGGCUGGCUAGUGGAAUUAUUUAUUUAUGUUUCCAUUUUUUUUGUUUUUUUCUUUGAAUCAAUUAUGUAAUACCAACUGCUUUCCAUCCUUGAUUAAGCUGCCAGGGGGUAGUUUUCCAUCGUGAUCGGGUGGUGAACUGGGAGUACAGAUUAACAGAGCCCUUAUAGGUCUGGCGGUUUGAUUUGUGUGUUUGCCACAUUGUGCACGUGUAUCCUGUUGUAAUGAAGGGCUUACUGGAGUUUGCUGUGGUUAUCACUCAAUGCAAUGAAGUGUCCCCUGUAUAGGUAACUCAAGUUGUUUUGUAUUCCUAGCCAGACCAAUUGAGAAAUUGCUGCCCCCAUCCGCUGAAGCAGUUUAUGUUUUGAACAAUUUUACAGUACUGCUUAAUAAAGAAAUUUGUAUUUUUUAUA